rnacentral:rRNA from 1 species
GAAACAUCUUCGGGUUGUGAGGUUAAGCGACUAAGCGUACACGGUGGAUGCCCUGGCAGUCAGAGGCGAUGAAGGACGUGCUAAUCUGCGAUAAGCGUCGGUGAGGUGAUAUGAACCGUUAUAACCGGCGAUUUCCGAAUGGGGAAACCCAGUGUGAUUCGUCACACUAUCAUUAACUGAAUCCAUAGGUUAAUGAGGCGAACCGGGGGAACUGAAACAUCUAAGUACCCCGAGGAAAAGAAAUCAACCGAGAUUCCCCCAGUAGCGGCGAGCGAACGGGGAGGAGCCCAGAGCCUGAAUCAGUGUGUGUGUUAGUGGAAGCGUCUGGAAAGGCGCGCGAUACAGGGUGACAGCCCCGUACACAAAAAUGCACAUAUUGUGAGCUCGAUGAGUAGGGCGGGACACGUGGUAUCCUGUCUGAAUAUGGGGGGACCAUCCUCCAAGGCUAAAUACUCCUGACUGACCGAUAGUGAACCAGUACCGUGAGGGAAAGGCGAAAAGAACCCCGGCGAGGGGAGUGAAAAAGAACCUGAAACCGUGUACGUACAAGCAGUGGGAGCCUCUUAAUGGGGUGACUGCGUACCUUUUGUAUAAUGGGUCAGCGACUUAUAUUCUGUAGCAAGGUUAACCGAAUAGGGGAGCCGAAGGGAAACCGAGUCUUAACUGGGCGUUAAGUUGCAGGGUAUAGACCCGAAACCCGGUGAUCUAGCCAUGGGCAGGUUGAAGGUUGGGUAACACUAACUGGAGGACCGAACCGACUAAUGUUGAAAAAUUAGCGGAUGACUUGUGGCUGGGGGUGAAAGGCCAAUCAAACCGGGAGAUAGCUGGUUCUCCCCGAAAGCUAUUUAGGUAGCGCCUCGUGAAUUCAUCUCCGGGGGUAGAGCACUGUUUCGGCAAGGGGGUCAUCCCGACUUACCAACCCGAUGCAAACUGCGAAUACCGGAGAAUGUUAUCACGGGAGACACACGGCGGGUGCUAACGUCCGUCGUGAAGAGGGAAACAACCCAGACCGCCAGCUAAGGUCCCAAAGUCAUGGUUAAGUGGGAAACGAUGUGGGAAGGCCCAGACAGCCAGGAUGUUGGCUUAGAAGCAGCCAUCAUUUAAAGAAAGCGUAAUAGCUCACUGGUCGAGUCGGCCUGCGCGGAAGAUGUAACGGGGCUAAACCAUGCACCGAAGCUGCGGCAGCGACACUAUGUGUUGUUGGGUAGGGGAGCGUUCUGUAAGCCUGUGAAGGUGGCCUGUGAGGGUUGCUGGAGGUAUCAGAAGUGCGAAUGCUGACAUAAGUAACGAUAAAGCGGGUGAAAAGCCCGCUCGCCGGAAGACCAAGGGUUCCUGUCCAACGUUAAUCGGGGCAGGGUGAGUCGACCCCUAAGGCGAGGCCGAAAGGCGUAGUCGAUGGGAAACAGGUUAAUAUUCCUGUACUUGGUGUUACUGCGAAGGGGGGACGGAGAAGGCUAUGUUGGCCGGGCGACGGUUGUCCCGGUUUAAGCGUGUAGGCUGGUUUUCCAGGCAAAUCCGGAAAAUCAAGGCUGAGGCGUGAUGACGAGGCACUACGGUGCUGAAGCGACAAAUGCCCUGCUUCCAGGAAAAGCCUCUAAGCAUCAGGUAACAUCAAAUCGUACCCCAAACCGACACAGGUGGUCAGGUAGAGAAUACCAAGGCGCUUGAGAGAACUCGGGUGAAGGAACUAGGCAAAAUGGUGCCGUAACUUCGGGAGAAGGCACGCUGAUAUGUAGGUGAAGCGACUUGCUCGUGGAGCUGAAAUCAGUCGAAGAUACCAGCUGGCUGCAACUGUUUAUUAAAAACACAGCACUGUGCAAACACGAAAGUGGACGUAUACGGUGUGACGCCUGCCCGGUGCCGGAAGGUUAAUUGAUGGGGUUAGCGGCAACGCGAAGCUCUUGAUCGAAGCCCCGGUAAACGGCGGCCGUAACUAUAACGGUCCUAAGGUAGCGAAAUUCCUUGUCGGGUAAGUUCCGACCUGCACGAAUGGCGUAAUGAUGGCCAGGCUGUCUCCACCCGAGACUCAGUGAAAUUGAACUCGCUGUGAAGAUGCAGUGUACCCGCGGCAAGACGGAAAGACCCCGUGAACCUUUACUAUAGCUUGACACUGAACAUUGAGCCUUGAUGUGUAGGAUAGGUGGGAGGCUUUGAAGUGUGGACGCCAGUCUGCAUGGAGCCGACCUUGAAAUACCACCCUUUAAUGUUUGAUGUUCUAACGUGGGCCCGUAAUCCGGGUUGCGGACAGUGUCUGGUGGGUAGUUUGACUGGGGCGGUCUCCUCCUAAAGAGUAACGGAGGAGCACGAAGGUUGGCUAAUCCUGGUCGGACAUCAGGAGGUUAGUGCAAUGGCAUAAGCCAGCUUGACUGCGAGCGUGACGGCGCGAGCAGGUGCGAAAGCAGGUCAUAGUGAUCCGGUGGUUCUGAAUGGAAGGGCCAUCGCUCAACGGAUAAAAGGUACUCCGGGGAUAACAGGCUGAUACCGCCCAAGAGUUCAUAUCGACGGCGGUGUUUGGCACCUCGAUGUCGGCUCAUCACAUCCUGGGGCUGAAGUAGGUCCCAAGGGUAUGGCUGUUCGCCAUUUAAAGUGGUACGCGAGCUGGGUUUAGAACGUCGUGAGACAGUUCGGUCCCUAUCUGCCGUGGGCGCUGGAGAACUGAGGGGGGCUGCUCCUAGUACGAGAGGACCGGAGUGGACGCAUCACUGGUGUUCGGGUUGUCAUGCCAAUGGCACUGCCCGGUAGCUAAAUGCGGAAGAGAUAAGUGCUGAAAGCAUCUAAGCACGAAACUUGCCCCGAGAUGAGUUCUCCCUGACCCUUUAAGGGUCCUGAAGGAACGUUGAAGACGACGACGUUGAUAGGCCGGGUGUGUAAGCGCAGCGAUGCGUUGAGCUAACCGGUACUAAUGAACCGUGAGGCUUAACCUU